rnacentral:rRNA from 1 species
GAGUUUGAUCCUGGCUCAGGACGAACGCUGGCGGCGUGCCUAACACAUGCAAGUCGAACGGAGAAUUUCAAGAAGUUUACUUUGAGAAAUUUUUAGUGGCGGACGGGUGAGUAACGCGUGGGUAACCUACCCAUAAAGCCGGGACAACCCUUGGAAACGAGGGCUAAUACCGGAUAAUCUUAAGUCUUGGCAUCAAGGUUUAAGGAAAGGUGGCCUCUGAAAAUGCUACCGAUUAUGGAUGGACCCGCGUCUGAUUAGCUAGUUGGUGGGGUAAAGGCCUACCAAGGCGACGAUCAGUAGCCGGCCUGAGAGGGUGAACGGCCACACUGGGACUGAGACACGGCCCAGACUCCUACGGGAGGCAGCAGUGGGGAAUCUUCCGCAAUGGACGAAAGUCUGACGGAGCAACGCCGCGUGUAUGAUGAAGGUCUUCGGAUUGUAAAGUACUGUCUUUGGGGAAGAAUGACUGGUUUGAAAAUAUUGAGUUAGUAUGACGGUACCCAAGGAGGAAGCCCCGGCUAACUACGUGCCAGCAGCCGCGGUAAUACGUAGGGGGCAAGCGUUGUCCGGAAUUAUUGGGCGUAAAGGGCGCGUAGGCGGAUUUUUAAGUCUGGUGUGAAAGAUCAGGGCUCAACCCUGAGAGUGCAUCGGAAACUGGAGAUCUUGAGGACAGGAGAGGAAAGUGGAAUUCCACGUGUAGCGGUGAAAUGCGUAGAUAUGUGGAGGAACACCAG